AAUUACCUCCAUCUCUCUCUCGUUCUCAAGCCCGGCCAUUGUGAGGGGUAAACCUCCGGGACUGGAAGACACGGCAGGAGACUACGAGCUUCGUAGUCGAGAGCCGCCUACCCUAGAUCACUACGCCCUUGACAGAUAGUGACGACGAAUAGUAGUUCUGCUGCAAGGCUGUUUUGAAUUUUAUGUUUUAAUAUUCUGUUGUAAGCUAAAUUUGUAUUUGAGACCCCAAUUAGUAUUCGAGACCAUGUUCUACUAUUUCAGGUAGCCUCAAUUUGUAUUUGAGAUCAUGUUCAGCUAUGGGAUUUAUGUAUAAUUUCUAUUUAGUUUUGGUUCAAUUUGUAUUUCAGACUAUGUUUCUCAGAUUUCACAGUAAGUGUAUGGCUUGUGAACCUUGACCUGUGAACUUGAACCUGCUUUUUAG
rnacentral:lncRNA from 1 species